rnacentral:rRNA from 1 species
UACAGAGGGGGCAAGCGUUGUUCGGAAUUACUGGGCGUAAAGGGCGCGUAGGCGGCCUGUUAAGUCGAACGUGAAAUCCCCGGGCUCAACCCGGGAACUGCGUCCGAUACUGGCAGGCUUGAAUUCGGGAGAGGGAUGUGGAAUUCCAGGUGUAGCGGUGAAAUGCGUAGAUAUCAGGAGGAACACCUGUGGCGAAAGCGGCGCACUGGACCACAACUGACGCUGAGGCGCGAAAGCUAGGGGAGCAAACAGG